UGGCUCAGGAUGAACGCUAGCGGCAGGCCUAAACACAAGGUUAGAAUUUAGGCUCAGAACGAACGCUGGCGGCAUGCCUAACACAUGCAAGUCGAACGAACCCUUCGCGGUUAGUGUCGCACGGGUGGGUAACGCGUGGGAACCUGCCUUUAGGUUCGGAAUAACAGUUAGAAAUGAUUGGUAAUACCGGAUAAUGUCUUCGGACCAAAGAUCUAUCGCCUUUAGAUGGGCCCGGGUAGGAUUAGAUAGUUGGUGGGGUAAUGGCCUAGCAAGUCGACGAUCGUUAUCUGGUACGAGAGGAUGAUCACCCACACCGGGAUUGAGACACGGCCCACACUCAUACGGGAGGCAGCAGUGGGGAAUAUUGGACAAUGGCCGAAAGCCUGAUCCAGCAAUGCCGCGUGAGUGAUGAAGGCCUUAGGGUCGUAAAGCUUUUUUUCCAGGGAUGAUAAUGACAGUACCUGGAGAAUAAGAUCCGGCUAAAUCCGUGCCAGCAGCCGCGGUAAUACGGAGGGAGCUAGCGUUGUUUGGAAUUACUGGGGGUAAAGCGCAUGUAGGCGGCUUUCCAAGUCAGGGGGGAAAUCCCGGGGCUCAACCCCGGAACUGCCCUUGAAACUGGAUGGCUAGAAUACUGGAGAGGUGAGUGG
rnacentral:rRNA from 1 species